rnacentral:lncRNA from 1 species
CACAAGUUUCAGAUAAGAGUCUCUAUAGAUAGGCCAUUGAUCUUUAGUAUUUCUCAAAUACUUAAGAAUUGCUUUCGUAAUCUUUCAAUACUUUUUAUCUGGAUCUGACUGGUACCUACUCACUACCCUUAGUGAAUAGGCCACAUCGACCUCAUACAUAUCACAGUAUACAUGAUAGAUCUCACUACCGAAGUAUAUGGUAUUCUACUAAUGUGCUCUCUCUCCUCAGGUGUUGUCAGAUAAUUCUUCUUGAAAAGAAUAAUUCCAUGACC